UACGAAGGGUGCAAGCGUUACUCGGAAUUACUGGGCGUAAAGCGUGCGUAGGUGGUUUGUUAAGUCUGAUGUGAAAGCCCUGGGCUCAACCUGGGAACGGCAUUGGAAACUGGCUUACUAGAGUGCGGUAGAGGGGUGUGGAAUUCCCGGUGUAGCAGUGAAAUGCGUAGAUAUCUGGAGGAACACCGGUGGCGAAGGCGGCAUCCUGGACCGACAUUGACGCUGAGGAGCGAAAGCCAGGGGAGCAAAGCGGG
rnacentral:rRNA from 1 species